rnacentral:rRNA from 1 species
CCCUUAGAUGUCCGGGGCCGCACGCGCGCUACACUGAAGGAAUCAGCGUGGCUUUCUCCCUGACCCGAAAGGGUUGGGAAACCCGUUGAAUCUCCUUCGUGAUAGGGAUUGGGGCUUGAAAUUGUUCCCCAUGAACGAGGAAUUCCCAGUAAGCGCGGGUCAUAAGCUCGCGUUGAUUACGUCCCUGCCCUUUGUACACACCGCCCGUCGCUCCUACCGAUUGAAUGUUCCGGUGAGCUCUUCGGACUGCGCGGUCUGCAGUUUCUGCGUUCCGUGCGGAAAGUUGCGCAAACCUUAACAUUUAGAGGAAGGAGAAGUCGUAACA